CCUACGGGAUGCUGCAGUGAGGAAUAUUGGUCAAUGGGCGCGAGCCUGAACCAGCCAAGUAGCGUGAAGGAUGACUGCCCUACGGGUUGUAAACUUCUUUUAUAAAGGAAUAAAGUGAGGCACGUGUGCCUUUUUGUAUGUACUUUAUGAAUAAGGAUCGGCUAACUCCGUGCCAGCAGCCGCGGUAAUACGGAGGUUCCGUUCGUUAUCCGGCUUUCUUGGGGUUAAAGGGAGCGUAGAGGGGUUGUUAAGUCAGUUGUGAAAGUUUGCGGCUCAACCGUAAAAUUGCAAUUGAUACUGGCAGUCUUGAGUACAGUUGAGGUAGGCGGAAUUCGUGGUGUAGCGGUGAAAUGCUUAGAUAUCACGAAGAACUCCGAUUGCGAAGGCAGCUUACUAAACUGCCACUGACAUUGAUGCUCGAAAGUGUGGGUAUCAAACAGGAUUAGAUACCCCAGUAGUC
rnacentral:rRNA from 1 species